rnacentral:rRNA from 1 species
GACAGAGGUGGCAAGCGUUGUCCGGAAUUACUGGGCGUAAAGAGCGCGUAGGUGGCUAGAUAAGUCCGGUGUGAAAUCCUUCGGCUUAACCGGGGAAUGGCAUCGGGGACUGUAUAGCUAGAGUACGGUAGAGGGGGAUGGAAUUCCGCGUGUAGCAGUGAAAUGCGUAGAUAUGCGGAGGAACACCGAUGGCGAAGGCAAUCCCCUGGACCUGUACUGACGCUCAUGCACGAAAGCGUGGGGAGCAAACAGG